UACGGAGGGUGCAAGCGUUGUCCGGAUUCAUUGGGUUUAAAGGGUGCGUAGGCGGAGAAUUAAGUCAGUGGUGAAAGCUCGCAGCUUAACUGUGAAAAUGCCAUUGAAACUGAUUUUCUUGAGUUCGAUUGAGGUAGAUGGAAUGUAUCAUGUAGCGGUGAAAUGCUUAGAUAUGAUACAGAACACCAAUUGCGAAGGCAGUCUACUAAGUCGAUACUGACGCUGAGGCACGAAAGCAUGGGGAGCAAACAGG
rnacentral:rRNA from 1 species